UAGAUCCGUAACUUCGGGAUAAGGAUUGGCUCUGAAGAUUGAGAUAAUCGGGCUUGAUUGGGAAGCAAUAAUAUGGUUUAUGUACUCGUUCUGGAUAAAUAGAGUUUUUCGAAUCUUGUUCCCCGGAUAGUAGUUACGUAACCAAUUGUGGAACUUUCUUGCUAAAAUUUAUUAUAGGAAUAUCGAAAGAUAUUAUUCUAUCUUAAAUUAUAACGAUUAUCAAUUAACAAUCAAUUCAGAACUGGCACGGACUUGGAGAAUCCGACUGUCUAAUUAAAACAAAGCAUUGUGAUGGCCCUAGCGGGUGUUGACACAAUGUGAUUUCUGCCCAGUGCUCUGAAUGUCAACGUGAAGAAAUUCAAGUAAGCGCGGGUCAACGGCGGGAGUAACUAUGACUCUCUUAAGGUAGCCAAAUGCCUCGUCAUCUAAUUAGUGACGCGCAUGAAUGGAUUAACGAGAUUCUCGCUGUCCCUAUCUACUAUCUAGCGAAACCACAGCCAAGGGAACGGGCUUGGAAAGAUUAGCGGGGAAAGAAGACCCUGCUGAGCUUGACUCUAGUCUGGCAGUGUAAGGAGACAUAAGAGGUGUAGCAUAAGUGGGAGAUAAUAAUUUUUUUAAAUUAUUAUCGACAAUGAAAUACCACUACUCUUAUUGUUUCCUUACUUACUUGAUUUAAGUGGAACAUGUAUCAAUUCCUAGCCAUUAUACGGAUUUAUUUUAUAUAUUUCUUAUGGUAUUGGGUCUUGAUGCAAGCUUCUUGAUCAAAAUAUCACGAGUUUGCUAUACAAUUGUAAACAAAUUUUGAUAAAAUGAUAACAUUUUAUAUGUUAUUGUUAUAAUUAUUAUUUGGUAUAGCUACAAUACUCAGAUAUGAUCCAAUUCAAGGACAUUGCCAGGUGGGGAGUUUGACUGGGGCGGUACAUCUCUCAAAUAAUAACGGAGGUGUCCCAAGGCCAGCUCAGUGCGGACAGAAACCACACAUAGAGCAAAAGGGCAAAUGCUGACUUGAUCUCGGUGUUCAGUACACACAGAGACAGCAAAAGCUCGGCCUAUCGAUCCUUUUGGUUUAAGGAGUUUUUAACAAGAGGUCAGAAAGUUACCAAAGGGAUAACUGGCUUGUGGCGGCCAAGCGUUCAUAGCGACGUCGCUUUUUGAUCCUUCGAUGUCGGCUCUUCCUAUCAUUGUGAAGCAAAAUUCACCAAGCGUUGGAUUGUUCACCCAUGCAAGGGAACGUGAGCUGGGUUUAGACCGUCGUGAGACAGGUUAGUUUUACCCUACUAAUGACUAAGUUGUUGCGACAGCAUUCCUGCGUAGUACGAGAGGAACCGCAGGUACGGACCAAUGGCACAAUACUUGUUCGAGCGAACAGUGGUAUGACGCUACGUCCGUUGGAUUAUGCCUGAACGCCUCUAAGGUCGUAUCCGUGCUGGACUGCAAUGAUAAAAAUGGGGCAAUUGUGUUGUAUGGCUUCUAAACCAUUUAAAGUUUAUAUAUUUAUUAUAUAAACGACAAUGUUAUGUGAUGCCAAUGUUUCGAUUAACAUAGCAAAUCUGGGAGGAUUAAAUAUCACUUGGAUGCCGCGCUAGUUAAUUGAUGAAACAUUAUUUAAUACAAUGACAAUGCCUAGAAUCAAUUGUAAACGACUUUUGUAACGGGCA
rnacentral:rRNA from 1 species